AUUGAACGCUGGCGGCAGGCCUAACACAUGCAAGUCGAGCGAGCGGCGGACGGGUGAGUAAUGUAUGGGGAUCUGCCCGAUCGGGGGGGAUAAAUACUGGAAACGGUGGCUAAUACCGCCUAAUAUAGGAUGAACCCAGAUGGGAUUAGCUAGUAGGUGGGGUAAAGGCUCACCUAGGCGACGAUCUCUAGCUGGUCUGAGAGGAUGAUCAGCCACACUGGAACUGGUACACGGCCCAGACUCCUACGGGAGGCAGCAGUGGGGAAUAUUGCACAAUGGGCGCAUGCCUGAUGCAGACAUGCCGAGUGUAUGAAUAAGGCCUUCGGGUUGUAAAGUACUUUCAGCGGGGAGGCGUUACCCGCAGAAGAAGCACCGGCUAACUCCGUGCCAGCAGCCGCGGUAAUUC
rnacentral:rRNA from 1 species